rnacentral:rRNA from 3 species
UACGUAGGGGGCAAGCGUUAUCCGGAUUUACUGGGUGUAAAGGGAGCGUAGACGGCCGUGCAAGUCUGAUGUGAAAGGCUGGGGCUCAACCCCGGGACUGCAUUGGAAACUGUAUGGCUGGAGUGCCGGAGAGGUAAGCGGAAUUCCUAGUGUAGCGGUGAAAUGCGUAGAUAUUAGGAGGAACACCAGUGGCGAAGGCGGCUUACUGGACGGUAACUGACGUUGAGGCUCGAAAGCGUGGGGAGCAAACAGG